rnacentral:misc_RNA from 1 species
UUGAAGAUCUGCAUGAAUCUUUUCCAGGGUUUGCUUUUUUAAUUUUGAUUUUUUUUUAACUUUGAAGGAUUGCUCUAUAUUUUGGAAUUUAUAGUGUCCUUGUUUUGAUAGUGCUAUACAACAGGUAUCUGUGUAUAUAUGUGGAUCUGUAACAUAUCACCUGUACAGGUAAACUGUAAACUGGAUUUUACCGUGGUACAUGUAUUGCCUUUACACCUAACAUAUCUUGUUUAACACAUUUAUAGCUUCAAGCAUUAUUCAACAUUGUGCAGUCAAACAGUUUUUCCUCUCACUGUCUAGUAAUUUGAUACAGCAAUUGUUUGAUUUUAAGUUUGUUUUUAAUUUUCCAAAACAAAAAAAAUGCUAAUUAUUGUUUUCAGACUUCUGUAUUUUAAUUUUGAAAUGUUUUAGUUAAGAUGUAGUGUCCUUAAAGCCUGGUUAAAUUUUUAUUGAGCUUGUGGAAAUCAUGAGGAGGUUAUUUUUAGGGGAAAAUGACAGAAAAUUGAUCAAGGUUGUGAACUGUUACCAUGGUUAUCAUUGUUGAUGAAAUUAAAACCUGUUAUGCAACGU